ACCUCUUCCUUUUUAUGAUACAUUGUACUCCCUGUUCAGAAUCCAUCUGUCUUCUCUUCACUACUAAAGACCAAUUCCUAAAUGCUCAUUUCACCAAUAGAGACUAAAAAUUAAAUCUCAGUCAACUAGGCAACGGGUAACAAAAAAUUUGAUUUGGUGAAGUAAACUGUAAUUGAAGAUGCAGAUAAGAUAAUUCCUACUACUAAUUUCACCCAACAAUAACAAAAAAAUUGAUUUGACGGCGAUUCCCGCAAAGCUGGUGGUACGGUGUAGAUAAAUUUCUUAGUUUUCCACAACCCUUUGUCAUAUGAGUUCAACUUCAUUUACCUCCCUCAGUUUUUCCCAGAAUACCCUUUAUUUUUUAUUUAUUUUUAUUAUUGACUACGAGUGAUUUUAUGAUGAGAUGAUGGGUUUGGUGGUGGUUAAGUUGAAGCAAUCGAUGACUUUGGUGUCAUUUCUGACAUCGGAGCUUCUAGAAGGUUGGAGGUAAAUGAAGUUGGUUGCUUCCUUGGAGGUUGCAAUUGUAUGGUGGCUGGAAUCUGUAACGCAACCUGCCGUGGAGAGAAGUGGUAAAGGAAACAGAAAAAAAUAUCUAGUGCAUAAGGAGCAUCGUAGUAGUGUGUGGAUCAAAUGAAUCCAAUGGUGAGAAAUUUUGGUCCAAUAUAGACCAAUACUUCUAUGGCUGCAGACUGUAUGAGCCCGAAGUUCUAUAAAUAGAGAGUUAAUUUGAGUUAUCUUGGCCACAACAUUAGAAUUAUAUUUUUCAGGAUCGAUCAACUUUGCAAUUAAACUAUUGGCAUAUGAGUUGCAAUUAAGAGGACUCUAAUUUUUUGUAAUAAUAAAAUAUCGAAAUAAUUUGGUUCAAGUUUCAGUUGAACAUAAUUAAUUUACGUGAAAUUGAU
rnacentral:lncRNA from 1 species